rnacentral:rRNA from 1 species
GACGAACGCUGGCGGCGUGCCUAACACAUGCAAGUCGAACGGAGAUGUUUAUUUCGGUAGAUAUCUUAGUGGCGCACGGGUGAGUAACGCGUGAAUAACCUGACCCGAAGAGGGGGAUAACACCUGGAAACAAGUGCUAAUACCGCAUAAGACCACAGACCGGCAUCGGUCAGAGGUCAAAGGAGAAAUCCGCUUUGGGAGGGGUUCGCGUCCCAUUAGGUAGUUGGUGAGGUAACGGCCCACCAAGCCGACGAUGGGUAGCCGAGCUGAGAGGCUGAUCGGCCACACUGGAACUGAGACACGGUCCAGACUCCUACGGGAGGCAGCAGUGGGGAAUAUUGGGCAAUGGGCGCAAGCCUGACCCAGCAACGCCGCGUGAGGGAAGAAGGUUUUCGGAUUGUAAACCUCUGUCGCAGGGGACGAAGGAAGUGACGGUACCCUGUAAGAAAGCCCCGGCUAACUACGUGCCAGCAGCCGCGGUAAU